rnacentral:tRNA from 6 species
GCUCCCGUAGUCUAGUCCGGUCAAAAAACUACCGAAAGGAUACGGCCCUCUCGAGGCUGAAACUCGGGUUCAAAUCCCGACGGGAGCA